rnacentral:rRNA from 1 species
UACGGAGGGGGCUAGCGUUGUUCGGAUUUACUGGGCGUAAAGCGCACGUAGGCGGAUCGAUCAGUCAGGGGUGAAAGGCCUGGGCUCAACCCGGGAACUGCCUUUGAUACUGUCGAUCUUGAAUCCGGGAGAGGUAAGCGGAAUUCCAAGUGUAGAGGUGAAAUUCGUAGAUAUUUGGAAGAACACCAGUGGCGAAGGCGGCUUACUGGACCGGUAUUGACGCUGAUGUGCGAAAGCGUGGGGAGCGAAC